AUCGGACAGGGCUCACAAGAUGCAUAGAUUUCACAGUCUGAAAGUUCGAUUUUACCCAGCUUUUUGCAAGCCUCCCUAACUGCAGUGACUUCAGCAUGUGCUGUAGGGUCAGUGUUUCUUCUAACCAUGUUAUGACAGCUCACAACUACUUCAUCGUUACGAACAACGACUGCUCCAAAAGGACCUCCAUCUCCACACUCAACUCCUUUGUAAGCCUCUUCAACUGCUUGUGUCAAGAACUUGUGGUCUCUGUCUUGUACAGCUUCUUGAUGACAACCAAAUGCAGAUGCUACAGAGAGAGUUCCGUCUAUAGCUUCCACCACAGUAGAAGAAUCUGCCAUGAUCGAGAUCGAGAAAACAGAGAGAAUAGAAGUUGGG
rnacentral:misc_RNA from 1 species